rnacentral:rRNA from 1 species
UGAGGAAUAUUGGUCAAUGGACGCAAGUCUGAACCAGCCAUGCCGCGUGAAGGAUGAAGGCCUUCUGGGUUGUAAACUUCUUUUAUCGGGGAAGAAAAGUAUGGUUUCUACUAUAUCCGACGGUACCCGAGGAAUAAGCACCGGCUAACUCCGUGCCAGCAGCCGCGGUAAUACGGAGGGUGCAAGCGUUAUCCGGAUUCACUGGGUUUAAAGGGUGUGUAGGCGGGCUGUUAAGUCAGAGGUGAAAUCUCCGGGCUCAACCCGGAAACUGCCUUUGAUACUAAUGGCCUUGAAUCUUGUUGAGGUAGGCGGAAUAUGUCAUGUAGCGGUGAAAUGCUUAGAUAUGACAUAGAACACCGAUUGCGAAGGCAGCUUACUAAGCAAGCAUUGACGCUGAGGCACGAAAGCGUGGGGAUCAAACAGGAUUAGAUACCCUGGUAGUUCACGCCCUAAACGAUGAUUACUCGACAUACGCGAUACACAGUGUGUGUCUGAGCGAAAGC